rnacentral:rRNA from 1 species
CCUACGGGCGGCAGCAGUGAGGAAUAUUGGUCAAUGGCCGGAAGGCUGAACCAGCCAAGCCGCGUGAAGGACGAAGGUGCCAAGCAUUGUAAACUUCUUUUGUCAAGGGACAAAAUCAGGCUCGAGAGCCUGACCGAGGGUACUUGAAGAAAAAGCAUCGGCUAACUCCGUGCCAGCAGCCGCGGUAAUACGGAGGAUGCGAGCGUUAUCCGGAUUUAUUGGGUUUAAAGGGUGCGUAGGCGGGCUGUUAAGUCAGCGGUAAAAGCCCGGGGCUCAACCCCGGCGAGCCGUUGAAACUGGCUGUCUUGAGAUGGCGGGAGGUAUGCGGAAUGUGCAGUGUAGCGGUGAAAUGCUUAGAUAUGGCGAAGAACUCCGAUUGCGAAGGCAGCGUACCGGAGCCGGACUGACGCGGAGGCACGAAAGCGUGGGUAUCGAACAGGAUUAGAUACCCGGGUAGUC